UGUUGGCAAGUAAAUUUACAGAUAUGUGUUUUCUAUUAGUUCAAAUGUCAAAGGACGGAAGACAAAUAUUUUCACUUUUGUACUUGGAGUUGAACAUCACCGUCUGAUAUAAGUGACGAUCUUUUUGUAAAUAUUGAUUGGCCUGCAUGAGUACACAAUGGAUAGAAUAGCAAAAUUUAUGCAAGAAAAUUUAAAUGGAUAUAAUUUGCCCGCAGACGAUCUAAUAGAAAUACGCGGAGUUCUUCUCAGAAGAUUUGGUGCAAAAUUUUCCGAAGGUCUUUCUCCAGAAGGACGUAUAGCCAUGGAAGAGGCUGCUAAAUGUGAAGUGGACGGCGCAAUACGUUUACAACAAACACAAGACAAAGACGGUAGUUAUACAACUAAGAAAGAUACAACAGCAAAAGUGACAAAUUCAACAUUUAAUUGAAAUUAAAUUGGUUCACAGAUACGAAUGAUAAAAUACACAGU